rnacentral:lncRNA from 10 species
UGCAGGGAAGGCAUCCCGGGGCCUGCGAUCUUGGCUCAGAGGCCCCUCUGGGAUCCAGGGAGGGAUCCCUGAGAGAGGUAAGAGCCCAGCAACCCGAACGCAAUGACAGUGUGGGCAUUUGAUUCAUUCUUUGAUCCUGAUAAUCGGGAUCAGAUCUCAUCCAUUCCAGCUCCCCUGCUAAUAUUUUACAUGCAUUAUUUCAUCCAACUCUUGCAAAAAUGUGGAGAGCUAGUAAUUAUUCCUAACAUAUACUGAGUGCUCAUAUAUGCUUUCUGGGUAUUAAUUCACUUAAACAGAUACCCUCGUGGGAUUGGUCACUAUUGUUAUCCCCAGUUACCAAGGAGAAAACUUGAGGCACAGAGAGGUUAAGUAAGCUGCACACAGUCACACAGCGAGGGCCCGGACCAGCAUCCGUCUGGCCCUGCUUCUUUUAUCACCUCCCUCUCAGUGAAUCCCUGGCUAGCUGGUGGGGUGGGCUUAGGGCCCCAGGCGACAGAGGAGAAAGCACAAAGCCCAAAGAGGUUAAACCGUGUACCUGGAAUCACAGAGGCUGAGUUCAAAGGUCAGCCUCUCUGAGUCCAGACCCGCCGCUGACUUGCCUUGAAAUGGGACUCAUGAGAGUGGAGGUGAGGAGAGGGCAUCUUGGAAAAGGACGCCGGACAUUUUGGUGGGGUGAUUUCGGGGCCAUUGCCCCGCCCUGUGAGCUCUGUGGGUGCCUCUCCUGGGUCCGGCCUUCUCUUCCCCACCUGCCUGGCCUCCUCCCUGCCGUCCUCGGCUCCUCAUCUCCCGGCCACUGGGCCGAUCCAUCUCGCUCCUCCGCUUUAGUAUGCAGCCCUCGGAAAACAAACACGCAGCAGCCUGACAGUGGGAAUAAAUAUCGUGGCGAUGUUGAUUAGCAUUUGAUCCCAGCUGGGUCUCUGGGAGCUGAAGUACUGGAAUGUCUUGGCAGUUUUUUAAUGCUGAAUAAUUUGAUUAGAUCAGUGACUGAGCCUGCUGCUCCUGGCCCCAGCCCUGCCUUCCCUACUACGGCAUUCUGAAGUUCCAGAACACAGGAGCCAACAAGAAACUGGGAAUAAAGGGGUUUGAUCUGCACAGCACAAACACGUCUUGCAAAAAGAGGAAUAUAAAAAAAAUGCCAAUUCCUUCUAUGGGGGAAAAGAAGGCGUCGAGACAUGUUAAACGGUUAGGAAGAAGGUUGCUGCUUGUUUUCCGUCUUCCUUGUGCAGGCUGAAGGCGGGGUGAGGGGAGAGGUUCAUUAUUUUUCGGCGCUCUGAAGGCAGGUGAACAGGGAAAAGCAAACUGCAGCCUGCCAUCGCGUUCAGCGCCUUUGAAACACAUAGAGCUCUCAAGGCAAGGGAAGGGUUUGAUGCAAUUUAAAAAAGACAGACUCCCACACCUCUCAGAUCCAUAUGUUUCCAUUCAAGAUCUCGUUUCCCUCCGAGGCUGGUGCUACUGCGGGCUUUGCAGUCGGGCCCGGCUGUUCUGCUGACGCUCUGAGGACCCGUGGCUCAUGGAGGAGGCAGACGGGCUGAGCAACUGCACGGUGGGCUCGAGGUGCCGACGGCAGGCUCUGGGCUGAGCUGCAGCGGCAAAGUGGUGCCCGGCGCCAUGUGGUGCCCUGAGCCUGUGUGAGAUCAGGUGGUUGCUGUCUGGGGGAAGGUAAGAAGGUGAAAAAUAAAAGCAAGCAAAUCAAUAAAAUAGUGUAUGUAUAUAGACCAG